ACCUGGGUGGCUCAGUGGUUGAGCAUCUGACUCUGGCUCAGGUAAUGAUCCUGGGGUCCUGGGGUUGAGUCCCAUAUCAGGUU
rnacentral:tRNA from 1 species